AUUGAACGCUGGCGGCAUGCUUUACACAUGCAAGUCGAGCGGCAGCGCGGGGGCAACCCUGGCGGCGAGCGGCGAACGGGUGAGUAAUGCAUCGGAACGUAUCCUCGAGUGGGGGAUAACCCAGCGAAAGUUGGGCUAAUACCGAAUGAGCUCUGAGGAGGAAAGCGGGGGACCUGCGAGGGCCUCGCGCUGGAGGAGCGGCCGAUGUCCGAUUAGCUAGUUGGUGGGGUAAAGGCUUACCAAGGCGACGAUCGGUAGCUGGUCUGAGAGGAUGAUCAGCCACACUGGGACUGAGACACGGCCCAGACUCCUACGGGAGGCAGCAGUGGGGAAUUUUGGACAAUGGGGGCAACCCUGAUCCAGCCAUGCCGCGUGAGUGAAGAAGGCCUUCGGGUUGUAAAGCUCUUUCGGACGGAACGAAAUGGGCGGGACUAAUACUCCUGUCUGAUGACGGUACCGUAAGAAGAAGCACCGGCUAACUACGUG
rnacentral:rRNA from 1 species